rnacentral:rRNA from 1 species
CCUUGAAAUACCACCCUGGUUUGUUUGAGGUUCUAACCUUGGCCCGUGAUCCGGGUCGGGGACAGUGCAUGGUAGGCAGUUUGACUGGGGCGGUCUCCUCCCAAAGCGUAACGGAGGAGUACGAAGGUACGCUAGGUACGGUCGGAAAUCGUGCUGAUAGUGCAAUGGCAUAAGCGUGCUUAACUGCGAGACCGACAAGUCGAGCAGGUGCGAAAGCAGGUCAUAGUGAUCCGGUGGUUCUGUAUGGAAGGGCCAUCGCUCAACGGAUAAAAGGUACUCUGGGGAUAACAGGCUGAUACCGCCCAAGAGUUCAUAUCGACGGCGGUGUUUGGCACCUCGAUGUCGGCUCAUCUCAUCCUGGGGCUGUAGCCGGUCCCAAGGGUAUGGCUGUUCGCCAUUUAAAGAGGUACGUGAGCUGGGUUUAAAACGUCGUGAGACAGUUUGGUCCCUAUCUGCCGUGGGCGUUGGAUAUUUGAAGGGGGCUGCUCCUAGUACGAGAGGACCGGAGUGGACGAACCUCUGGUGUACCGGUUGUGACGCCAGUCGCAUCGCCGGGUAGCUAUGUUCGGAAGAGAUAACCGCUGAAAGCAUCUAAGCGGGAAACUCGCCUUAAGAUGAGAUAUCCCUGGAGGCUUGACCUCCUUGAAGGGUCGUUCGAGACCAGGACGUUGAUAGGUCGGGUGUGUAAGCGCAGUAAUGCGUUCAGCUAACCGAUACUAAUUGCCCGUAAGGCUUGAUCCUAUAACA